rnacentral:rRNA from 1 species
UGGGGAAUUUUGGACAAUGGGGGCAACCCUGAUCCAGCAAUGCCGCGUGUGUGAAGAAGGCCUUCGGGUUGUAAAGCACUUUUGUCCGGAAAGAAAACGUCGUGGUUAAUACCCGUGGCGGCUGACGGUACCGGAAGAAUAAGCACCGGCUAACUACGUGCCAGCAGCCGCGGUAAUACGUAGGGUGCAAGCGUUAAUCGGAAUUACUGGGCGUAAAGCGUGCGCAGGCGGUCCGCUAAGACAGAUGUGAAAUCCCCGGGCUUAACCUGGGAACUGCAUUUGUGACUGGCGGGCUAGAGUAUGGCAGAGGGGGGUAGAAUUCCACGUGUAGCAGUGAAAUGCGUAGAGAUGUGGAGGAAUACCGAUGGCGAAGGCAGCCCCUGGG